rnacentral:misc_RNA from 1 species
UUAACUAUUAUAUAGUACUCAGACGACACUAACAUUCAGAUUUUAGGGUCCUCUGGCAGGCGCUUACUAGCCGAAGCCAGUAGUCAGUCAGACUGAGCGGCCUACCAAAGCAACAAAGUAUAAAUACAAAGGGUGAGAGAUCUACCCCGAAGGGCAUGAACUCAGUAAUGAUCCCUCCGCAGGUUCACCUACGGAGA